AUAAAAAAAAAUGGCCAGUGUUUGGUUCUGGCUGAGUGCGAUCGAGAGAGGGGGAAACCAGGAGAAAACUCUUCUCCUCAAAACCUAACAAAGAAAUCAUCAAAAUCAAGAGGCUUUAAGGCUGAAUUCUUGGUGCAUGAGUUAGGAAUUUAGGUCUCCUAACUAUAUUUGAUAUCAAGCACGAAGAAAGAAGAAAGCACGAGUCAUUUGAAGUCACAAGCAAUGCAAGAUCACGGUAAAUAGUCCCUUGGAGCAAAUUCUUGAACCGGAGGAACGAACACACAUCGCGCCAUUUAAUUGCUUCCGCUCGUCAAGUUCUUUAAAGGGUUGGUAGUGUCUUUUGGUUAAUGGAUGUUUUUUUUAUUAUGAUGUAACGGUUACAACUUUUAUGUCUUUUGGAAACGUGUCGUAGAAUUUAGUUCUAAAUGUAGAAUUUAGUUUGAAUGGUGAUUUUUUUAAAAGCAGGGAAUCGCUUAUGUUACAAACGGGUCAUGCCCGAUUUUUGUUAAAAUUUGUAUGUUAUUAUUUUUAUAUUCGAAUGUGAAAUAUGGGCGUUACAAGUUGGUAUCAGAGCCGAGAUUUGAGGGAUUCGAGCACCGGAUAGAGUGCCUGGACUCAAACCGAAAGCUCAAGAAGUGAUGUGUGUUCGCUCCAAGACGCGGUUAAGGCACGAAGAAAGAAGAAAGCACGAGUCAUUUGAAGUCACAAGCAACGCAAGAUCACGGUAAAUAGUCCCUUGGAGCAAAUUCUUGAACCGGAGGAACGAACACACAUCGCGCCAUUUAAUUGCUUCCGCUCGUCAAGUUCUUUAAAGGGUUGGUAGUGUCUUUUGGUUAAUGGAUGUUUUUUUUAUUAUGAUGUAACGGUUACAACUUUUAUGUCUUUUGGAAACGUGUCGUAGAAUUUAGUUCUAAAUGUAGAAUUUAGUUUGAAUGGUGAUUUUUUAAAAGCAGGGAAUCGCUUAUGUUACAAACGGGUCAUGCCCGAUUUUUGUUAAAAUUUGUAUGUUAUUAUUUUUAUAUUCGAAUGUGAAAUAUGGGCGUUACAUUUCGUCACCAA